GCUAACACAUGCAAGUCGACGCGGAAACGACACUAACAUUCCUUCGGGUGCGUUAAUGGGCGUCGAGCGGCGGACGGGUGAGUAAUGCCUAGGAAAUUGCCUUGAUGUGGGGGAUAACCAUUGGAAACGAUGGCUAAUACCGCAUAAUGCCUACGGGCCAAAGAGGGGGACCUUCGGGCCUCUCGCGUCAAGAUAUGCCUAGGUGGGAUUAGCUAGUUGGUGAGGUAAUGGCUCACCAAGGCGACGAUCCCUAGCUGGUCUGAGAGGAUGAUCAGCCACACUGGAACUGAGACACGGUCCAGACUCCUACGGGAGGUAGCAGUGGGGAAUAUUGCACAAUGGGCGAAAGCCUGAUGCAGCCAUGCCGCGUGUAUGAAGAAGGCCUUCGGGUUGUAAAGUACUUUCAGUUGUGAGGAAGGGGGUAACGUUAAUAGCGUUAUCUCUUGACGUUAGCAACAGAAGAAGCACCGGCUAACUCCGUGCCAGCAGCCGCGGUAAUACGGAGGGUGCGAGCGUUAAUCGGAAUUACUGGGCGUAAAGCGCAUGCAGGUGGUUCAUUAAGUCAGAUGUGAAAGCCCGGGGCUCAACCUCGGAACUGCAUUUGAAACUGGUGAACUAGAGUACUGUAGAGGGGGGUAGAAUUUCAGGUGUAGCGGUGAAAUGCGUACAGAUCUGAAGGAAUACCAGUGGCGAAGGC
rnacentral:rRNA from 1 species